rfam:Sorghum bicolor cultivar BTx623 chromosome 2, whole genome shotgun sequence.
GCACAUGUAUUCAUCUCAAUUCACAUGUGUUGAAGUGGAUUGGAGUGAAAUUGCACUAAAUUCUAUUCCAUUCCACUCCAACCCAUGUGGAUUGAAAUGAAUACACAU